GACGAACGCUGGCGGCGUGCCUAAUACAUGCAAGUAGGACGCAGUUGCGAACGGGUGAGUAACGCGUAGGUAACUACCUAUUAGAGGGGGAUAACUAUUGGAAACGAUAGCUAAUACCGCAUACUAGUAGAUGGACCUGCGUUGUAUUAGCUAGUUGGUAGGGUAAUGGCCUACCUAGGCAACGAUACAUAGCCGACGUGGUGGGGUGAUGUGCCACAGUGGGACUGAGAAACGGCCCUGACGCCUACGGGAGGAAGCAGUAGGGGAUCUUGGGCAAUGGGGGGAACCCUGACCGAGCAACGCCGCGGGAGUGAAGAAGGUGUUCGGAUCGUAAAGCUCUGUUGUUAAGGAAGCGGUACUUAACCAGAAAGGGACGGCUAACUACGUGCCAGCAGCCGCGGGAAUUC
rnacentral:rRNA from 1 species